rnacentral:rRNA from 1 species
GUGGGGAAUAUUGGACAAUGGGCGCAAGCCUGAUCCAGCAAUGCCGCGUGGGUGAAGAAGGCCUUCGGGUUGUAAAGCCCUUUUGUACGGAAAGAAAUCCUGGUGGUUAAUACCCGCCGGGGAUGACGGUACCGUAAGAAUAAGCACCGGCUAACUUCGUGCCAGCAGCCGCGGUAAUACGACGGGUGCAAGCGUUAAUCGGAAUUACUGGGCGUAAAGCGUGCGUAGGUGGUUUCUUAAGUCUGUCGUGAAAGCCCUGGGCUCAACCUGGGAAUGGCGAUGGAUACUGGGAGGCUAGAGUGCGGUAGAGGAUGGCGGAAUUCCCGGUGUAGCGGUGAAAUGCGUAGAGAUCGGGAGGAACAUCUGUGGCGAAGGCGGCCAUCUGGACCAGCACUGACACUGAGGCACGAAAGCGUGGGGAGCAAACAGGAUUAGAAACCCCGGUAGUCC